GGUAUGGCUGUUCGCCAUUUAAAGUGGUACGCGAGCUGGGUUCAGAACGUCGUGAGACAGUUCGGUCCCUAUCUGCCGUGGGCGUUGGAUGAUUGAAGGGAGUUGCUCCUAGUACGAGAGGACCGGAGUGAACGAACCUCUGGUGUUCGGGUUGUCACGCCAGUGGCACUGCCCGGUAGCUAAGUUCGGAAUCGAUAACCGCUGAAAGCAUCUAAGCGGGAAGCGAGCCCUGAGAUGAGUCAUCCCUGACCCCUUGAGGGUCCUAAAGGGCCGUUGGAGACCACAACGUUGAUAGGUGGGGUGUGUAAGCGCGGUGACGUGUUGAGCUAACCCAUACUAAUUACCCGUGAGGCUUAACCAUACAACACCCAAGAAGUGUUCU
rnacentral:rRNA from 1 species